rnacentral:rRNA from 1 species
UACGUAGGGUGCGAGCGUUGUCCGGAAUUAUUGGGCGUAAAGGGCUCGUAGGCGGUUUGUCACGUCGGGAGUGAAAACUCGGGGCUUAACCCCGAGCCUGCUUCCGAUACGGGCAGACUAGAGGUAUGCAGGGGAGAACGGAAUUCCUGGUGUAGCAGUGAAAUGCGCAGAUAUCAGGAGGAACACCGGUGGCGAAGGCGGUUCUCUGGGCAUUACCUGACGCUGAGGAGCGAAAGUGUGGGGAGCGAACAGG